GAGAGAACAAGGAGAAGAAUUUAGACAUAUGGGUUGUGAAAGAGGGUGCAAACUAAGUUUGAUUCUAGAUUGGGUAUUAAGAAGCUCAGGUACUGAGUCAAGGCAGUGAUCUUGACCAAUAAAGAUUCUCUACUUGAUUUGAUUUUUAUUAAUUUUGUUGGUUACUUGAUCAUCUACAUCCAACAGUCCACUUUCAUGUCUAAACUCGAAACCCAAGUCCCCAUCUACUUUUGGUAAGGCUCUCUUCCUUUAAGCCAAUACAUAUAGAUGAAAUGGUUGAUUAGAGCACAGUUAUGUAAUGCAUGUGUACCUGGCUGGUUUGUGUUGUGUGCGUGCAGAUUAGUAGUUUAUUGUCAACUUAGUUCUUUGCUUGCCCAAAUGAUAGCUUUCAAUAUAUGUUAAUGUCAAGUUGAUGUGUUAGUGAUAUGAAAAACAAAAAGUUCUGGUUUUAGUCACUAUGUUAGUGUUCUGGAUUUAAUGAUGUUCUUUUAUUGUUUUAUAUCUCUAUGUAAGUAGUUGGUGGUUGGUCACUUGAUACAGAAAUAACGGAAUUACCAGUCUUUGC